rnacentral:rRNA from 1 species
AGCGUAGGCGGAUUUUUAAGUGGGAUGUGAAAUACUCGGGCUCAACCUGAGUGCUGCAUUCCAAGCUGGAAGUCUAGAGUACAGGAGGGGAAAGUGGAAUUCCUAGUGUAGCGGUGAAAUGCGUAGAUAUUAGGAAGAACACCGGUGGCGAAGGCGACUUUCUGGACUGUAACUGACGCUGAGGCUCGAAAGCGUGGGGAGCGAACA